UAAGAUAGAGGCGCGGAAAGCAAUAGUAGCCUGUGGAGCGGGAGUGAAGAAGCAGGGGAAAGGGCCUACGCCGAAGUGCAAUAGCAGCCAUGUUGUUGUGCUGGGCUUACAGCGAAUAGCUGUCGGACUGUCGCUGCUUAUGCAGCGGAGGGCUAUCU
rnacentral:ncRNA from 1 species